rnacentral:rRNA from 1 species
AGAACGAACGCUGGCGGCAGGCUUAACACAUGCAAGUCGAACGCCCUCGCAAGGGGGAGUGGCAGACGGGUGAGUAACACGUGGGAACAUACCCUUCGGUUCGGAACAACGCCGGGAAACUGGCGCUAAUACCGGAUACGGCUUACGAGCGAAAGAUUUAUCGCCGAAGGAUUGGCCCGCGUUCGAUUAGCUUGUUGGUGAGGUAACGGCUCACCAAGGCGACGAUCGAUAGCUGGU